UGGGGGAUAUUGCACAAUGGGGGGAACCCUGAUGCAGCGACGCCGCGUGAGGGAAGACGGCCUUCGGGUUGUAAACCUCUGUCGCAGGGGACGAAGAAGAUGACGGUACCCUGUGAGGAAGCCACGGCUAACUACGUGCCAGCAGCCGCGGUAAUACGUAGGUGGCGAGCGUUGUCCGGAAUUACUGGGUGUAAAGGGAGCGUAGGCGGGAUAUUAAGUUGAAUGUAUAAACUAUCAGCUCAACUGAUAGAAGCGUUCAAAACUGAUAUUCUUGAGUGAAGUAGAGGCAGGCGGAAUUCCUAG
rnacentral:rRNA from 1 species